rnacentral:rRNA from 1 species
AUGGGCGCGUUGCAUGCCCCCUUGGUGUCCACCCUACCCCACACGGCAGUCACCCAACUACCACUAACCGCUGGACAGUCAACCCGUAACCAUUUUCUACCGCCCACCAUGUCGUGGAAGCGAACAAAUGGAGCGCACGACCACGAUGCCGGCCCCUCCUCGGGGCGGCGCCGCCAUGUGGCAACCUUCAUCGUGGUGCUGCCAGGGCUGCACCGCCGGCGCGUGACCAUGUUGCCAGCCAUUUCGGCCUCUGGUCGUGCGCGGGAGGCGGAGAUCUGCCGCCACCGCACUCAGCUACUAAGUGACCUCUGCCACGACCCGGCGUUCGCAUUGGACUCGCCACACUGGGACAUUUGGUUCGGCGAUGAGCUCGACCAGCGUCGCUGGUCAUGCUUCACCGCUCAUGCACCAACGCCCCUGCGCGCUCCAACACCACAACCAAGAAGGAGGAUGAGGCCCUCAAGAAGGACAUCGAGGACUCCGAACUGGCCAAGAUGGCCUAGUGGACUGACCUGCACCUGCCACUGGUGCUCCAAGUCUCGACGUUGGAGGCCCCCGCGCCACCGUCGAAGCUACGAAAUUUCCCGAAUUUCCCAUUCUACCCCUCUUCUCGUGCCGACCGACAAGUUCCCCUCUCUCUCGCGCGACGCUCCCCACCACUCGCUCCCCACCACUCGUCUCUCUCUAUCUCUCGCGCGUGACGCCGCCCUCUCUCUGUCGACGCGCCCUCUCUCCCCCUCUCGCCAGCAUCUUGCUCCGCACCGCCGCCUGGCUCACCGCUCCUCACACGCCGCCCUCUCCUACUCUGGCAACGCGCUGCUAGGCGAGGAGGAGGCGCGCGCUGGCGCUAGAUCUGAGUGCGCCGGCGGCCCCGCUGGCUACCGCGGGGAGGCCUCCUCGUCGCCGUCCCUGCAGCCGCCGCCGCCGCAGCAGCAGCAGGGGCACGCUAUUCAGCCCGUGUGGCUGCGGCAGCCGAGUCUGCCUUGGGAUCUUGGUGCGGGCGCGCCUCCCAUCGGCUUCGGGCUUCGUGAUCUUGAGGAGAUGCGCAAGAUGGUGCUCGACGGGUUCAAGCACUGCGCGCACGGGAUCAUGGAGAACAGCCAGGGGCAUGCAGCCAGGAGUAGAUUCCUGUACUGUUCUUUCCUGUAG